CAUUUUUAAGUAAAUGGAUGCACCUUGAGACCAUGCUCCUAAGUGAAAUAAAUCAGACAAACAUGCUCAAAUAUCAUAUGCUUUCUCUGAUGUGAGAAACCAAAAGUAUAAAUAAGGACCAAAAUGUACAAUAGAUAUUGAGAAAUGGGGAGAAAAUGUCCAAAUGAGAUGAGGAAUAAGGGAAAGGAGAGAGAGAAAAGAAAAAGGGAUAAGGAAAAGAAAUAAAUGGAAGGAAAAAAUGGAAACAAAGCUUUUAUAAGUAAAGAGGAGUUGAUGGGAGGGGAGGGGAGUGGGAAAAAAAGAAGGAAGUUAUAUCAUAUACAGGUACAAAUUCCCUAUCUUGGAUGUUAUCAUUAUGUAUAUCUAAAAUGUACCAAUAUGAUAAAAAGUGAAAAAAAAUUCAUGGUAAGUGAGAUGGAGUUGGUGGGAGCAGAGGAGCUUUGUAGAUGAGGUACUCAAAGGAAAAAUGAUAUUUUCAGGUUUGAUGCCCUUUAUUUUUUCUUCCACAGUAAUUAGUGAAUGCCAAAGACAGCAACUGGAGUCUGUAAGCUACUCGUCUCGCUAUGCUCUGGGCCUCUUUUAUGAAGCUGGCACGAAGAUUGAUGUCCCUUGGGCUGGGCAGUACAUCACCAGUAAUCCCUGCAUACGCUUUGUCUCCAUAGAUAAUAAGAAGCGCAAUAUAGAGUCGUCAGAAAUCGGGCCUUCCCUGGUGAUUCACACCACCGUCCCAUUUGGAGUUACACACUUGGAACACAGCAUUAAAGAUGUACAGGAGUUAAUCCUUCAGCAGCUGGAAAACAUUUUGCCAGGUUUGCCUCAGCCAGUUGCUAUCAAAUGCCAGAAAUGGAGACAUUCACAGGUUACAAGUGGUCCUGCCAAAUGCCCUGGCCAGAUGACUCUUCAUCUCAAACCUUUUCUUAUGUGCGGAGGGGAUGGAUUUACUCAGUCCAACUUUGAUGGCUGCAUCACUUCUGCCCUAUGUCUUCUGGAAGCUUUAAAGAAUCAUAUUUAGUAUCUGGGUUCUUGUUCUCAACAUUUAGUUUUGGUUUUUGUUUCACAAUUUUCUAUUAUUGAUUAUUUUGAUUAUUAUUAUGUUGAGAGAAAUUACUGGAAAAUUGUUCUUCACUUGUCAUUUUCCAUGUGGAGUAUGAAAUCAAUCUUAUAACUUUGAUAGUUGUAACCCAUAUUAGAAUGAAAAUGCCUUAUAUCUUAUACCUUUUCCCAUUUUUCUGAAUUGUCAAUCUUUGUUGAAGAAAAAGAGUAGUGCUUAAGAAUUUGAUAUUUUUAGUCACACAGUACUUUCUAAGCUUAAAACAGGUUCCAGUCUUAAUAUGAAAGAUAAAACUUAAAUACAAACUGAGAGACAAAUAUAUCCAUCUUUAACUUGUGUUAUCUCCUAUAGCUAGUGCUCUUACCUUUACAUGCUCUCAAGUAUGUUCUUCAAGUUUAACGAAUUUUUUGCAUCCAACCAAAAACUUACUGAACCAGAAAAUAGAUGCACUUAAAAUAGUUCAGUAUUUACCAACUUAGUGGUUCAGCAUAUCACCCAUAUGUAUUAGUGACUUGAUCUCAUGACUUGCAGGCUAGGGAGAAAUUGAUCACCAACCUUUUAAAGCAAGCUGCCUGUUGCUAAUUUGAAAAGCAAAGUGGUGAGUUCUCUUUUAUCAUUUCAAAAGGAAAGAAACUGGCUCAACCUCCCAAACUAAAAAGAGUUCAACAAAAUACUCCUUACUUUGGUAGUGGUUAAAGAUUCACACAUACAUGCCCAUUGUCAUACAUACACAUAAAUGCACAAACAAAACUUGCUUAUGGAGCUAUAAAGGGAGUUUUAUGAUCUUACAGCAUUUUAUUAUGUUUCCUUUUAGUAAAAAAAAAACUGGUAUAAAAAUCUAAAAUGCCUGCAUGUGGUUAAUGUCACCUAUUUUGAAAUCAGAGAAAUGAAAAAAAUACAAACAUCUAAAAUGCCUGCGUGUGGUUAAUGUCACCUAUUUUAAAAGCAGAGAAAUGAAAAAAUAUACAAUCUCUAGUCUGAAAUAAUGAAAAGUGUGGGGUUUUUCAUCAUUGUAGCCUAUUUUUGAUUAACAUUUGUCUUUACUUUGAUUUUACCCUUAAAAUAUGGUAGGGAAGUUAUUCAAACUUAUUUACUAUUUUGUUUUUAGGAAAUAUAAUUCCAGAGCCAUUUGAAUGAAAGUGUCCCAAACCUUUAAGAGCACUGCUAUAUUUAUUUCAUGAAUGUAUAUGCUUCCAAAAGAGAAAAAAAAAGAGAUUUAUAAAGAGGGAAGUGGGUUAUUUACAAAAAAAGUAUUCCUUUAAGGCAAUAUUAAUAACUUUAAUAUUUAUUCAUUCUAAGUAUGUUGCCUUACUAAUGCUGCAUGUUUCAGUAAGACUACAACAAUAUGAGAACAGCUUAACACUCCUAAAUACAUAUAAUCAUUGUCAUUUUUCUAUUUUAAUUAUUCUGCAAACUCUAUAUUUAGAUUUUCAUUUGCAUCUUCUAAUUUUAGAAAUGAAAAAGAAACAAGAAUAGGUCUCCUGCUAGCCAGAGGGCUAUGAAAGUCAGUUGGCAGGAUGCUCUAAAAGACUGCAGGGCAAAGGUAUCGGCACCCCAGGAAGAUGGGGUCAGUACAGCUUGGAACAGUUGCUGAGGUGUGUGUAUUUCUACUCCACAAGACCACACAUCAUCACCAUAUAGCCAAUAGGAACUUUUAUUAAUCAAGCCAGGCAAGGAAAGCUGCUCUGUUUUGAAAGGAGCAUAUUCAAGUGAGAAACAGCUUGAGCAGCAGGGUGAUUUAAUACUUGUUAGCUGAUAAAUACAGCCUUUGCCAGAAUAAAACUUUAUGAUGCAGUGUUGAAAAGCUUAAUUACUAAACUGUCUAUGCACAUCUUGCUCAGGCAGAAAGGGAGACAAAUUAUAGCAGUAGAAUAGUAUUUUUCACCUUUGUCAUUUCUGAAGGGGAAAAGUAUGCCUAAAAACAUUCAAAAAGCAGUAAUAAUCCUAGACCACAUAUUACUGAGGGGAAAAAAAGACAUUUCAUUUGAGUCACCAAGCCUUCUGCUCAAAAUGCCAUCAUCCCCACCCCCCACCCCCAUCUACCCACUACAUUGUUAAGUGAAGAGGAGAAGGUCAAUUUUACAUUUAUCUGGCAUUUUAUACUUAUCCAAGCAUGUGAAGAUAUAUAUAUAUUUAUAUAUAUAUUUAUAUAUAUUUGUAUAUAUUUUUAUAUAUUUAUAUAUUUAUAUAUAUUUAUAUAUUUAUAUAUUUAUAUAUUUAUAUAUAUAUUUAUAUAUAUUUUUAUAUAUAUAUAUGUUUCCCACUUUUUCUCCUCCCAACAUCCAUGGAAUAAGUAGAACAGAGAAUUAUUAUUCAUAUUUAACAAAUGAAGAAACUGAGCCCCAGAAGUUGGCCACUCAAGGUCAUAUAAUGAUAUGUAUGCCAGAACAAGCACCUAGGCUUCCCGUGACCCAUUUCUGUUUACUGGCACCAUGCUUCUGCCAGAUGAAUAUGAUAAUUGAAACUGAGCUGAAAUAUUAGUUGGGGAUACAGUCAGCACCAUAUGGUCCUCUUAUUGAUGUUUCAUUUCACAGAGCUAACACUAAUCCUGAUGUAAUAUAUAUAAUAUAUAUAUUAUAUAUAUAUAGCUCUAAUAUGGAAUGAAGUCUCCAUAAGUACUGGCUAAGUGAUUUAUACUCCUGUUAUUUCCUUCUUUGGGGGGCACGUGCUGUGAGAAUUAGAUGCACCCUAAUGACACUGAAUUUCAACACAGCAGUAAUUAUUUAGCCUGCAGACUCACUCUGCUUUGUCCUUUUGUCUGUAGUAUUCCUCUUUGUCUCUUUGUUUCCUUUGUUUCAUUCUCUACUUCUCUUCCAGUUUCUGCCAUUUCUUCAUCUCCAUCUCCUUUUGUUUUUCCUGUUCUUCCCUUGUGCUCAGUUCUCCAUUCUGAGAUAAACCUGGAAUAUAAAUGUACUAUGAUUCAUAGUACUUGUACUUCCUUGUUUUAAUAUAUCAGGGUUUUGUUAUCAUUGUUCAUAAAAUUUAAACCACUUGGUCUUGUUUGUUAUUCAAGUUAAUUGUACAGCCUUUGUUUCAAUUUUCAAAAGUCAUGUAAGAAUUUAAAACUGGCUGUAACUUUCAGGAAUCUCAGGGCUAAUAACUUAAAAUAAUGCCUUCUAUCAUUUCUUUUCUCUAGUUCUUUACUCUUCCUGUCACAUAUGUACAAAGUGUAGUACCAGGCUCUGCGGGGGACACAAUGGAACAUAAUCAGUAUACCUCACCCCAAAACACUCCCUCAGAAAGAUAAGACCCAAGGAAUGGGAAGCAGGGUAAAGGCACAUUGCAUUAAUUAGCUUUCUAUUACUAUAGCAAAAUAUCUGAAGCUGGGUACUUCAUAAAGAAGAAGUUUAUUUCACAGUUCUGGAAGUUUGACAGCAGUCUGUCUCUUGUGAAGGCCUCAUGACAUUGUAGCAUCACAAAUGAUGAGCAAAAGAGAGGGACAGAGGAGAGAGAGAGGGAGAGAGAGAGAGAGAGAGAGAGAGAGAGGAAGACCACAUAGGACGACAAGAACCCAGAGUAUACCAGGAGGGACCAGUAACAACCGUCCACUAAGCCCCACCUCUUAAAAGUCUGACUGUGUAUUAACAUCAACAAACCGAGGAUAAUAAUCCUUGAGGGACACACUCAAUCCAUAUCCAGACCAAUGUCCCUCCUCUUCACUCCAUACCUGCUCAGACUUUGCUGACUCCAGGACUCUAAACUGCAUAUGAGAGUGGUCAGGAUAAGUGAGCUUCUUUUGUGAAGAAGGCUCAGUAGAAUACACAAAAAAUGGUGUCUGGCAGGAGAAAAAACCCUCAGCAAACCACAUACUGUAUGGAGGACUGAGCUGUUAUAUUGCAGCAUGGAAUGUAUUUGUUUACCUUGUAUAAUCUCAUCAGGUAAACAAGAGGUUGAAAUGGUAAUGUGACCCAUGUUUCUUCCUCAAUAUACAGUAAUUAUUGUCCUCCUAAGAGUUCACAGCAGAGUGCAUCAGAAGAGUCUGCAAAGGAGAAAGAAUCUCUAAGAGAUUGAUAAUUAAAAAGGCACACACACACACACAAAAAUACCAUGAAAUCUUGGAAUGUGUAAGCCCAGAGUCAUUUAGACCAAUCGUUCUUAACCCUCUUGGAUUUUGAACUUAUUUGGGAAACUAUAGAAAGCUGUAACUAAUAAAUACAUACAUAUAUACAUACAUACAUAAAUUAAUAAAACUAAUCAAUAAAAGUAUAACUAAAAGCUAAUAACAACAAAACAAUUGUACAUAUUUGUACAUAGGAUUUGUCUACUGUUUAGAACCUGUGACCUGGCUGCAUGAUUUUGCAAAUAAAGUUUUAUUGGGAUGCAUCUUCACUUAGUAAUUUCUGUAUUGUCUUGUGACUUUUUCACUACAGAGCUAGAGACAAGUGUUAGAA
rnacentral:lncRNA from 1 species